GAUGAACGCUGGCGGCGUGCUUAACACAUGCAAGUCGAACGGAAAGGCCCUGCUUGCAGGGUACUCGAGUGGCGAACGGGUGAGUAACACGUGGGUGAUCUGCCCUGUACUUUGGGAUAAGCCUGGGAAACUGGGUCUAAUACCGAAUAUGACCACUUCUUGGAUGGGGUGGUGGAAAGCUUUUGCGGUAUGGGAUGAGCUCGCGGCCUAUCAGCUUGUUGGUGGGGUAAUGGCCUACCAAGGCGUCGACGGGUAGCCGGCCUGAGAGGGUGUACGGCCACAUUGGGACUGAGAUACGGCCCAGACUCCUACGGAGGCAGCAGUGGGGAAUAUUGCACAAUGGGCGCAAGCCUGAUGCAGCGACGCCGCGUGGGGGAUGACGGCCUUCGGGUUGUAACUCCUUUCGCAACACGAAGCUUUUUGUGACGGUAGGUUGAGAGAAGCACCGGCUAACU
rnacentral:rRNA from 1 species